rnacentral:rRNA from 1 species
GGACUACCCGGGUAUCUAAUCCCGUUCGCUCCCCACGCCUUCGUGCCUCAGCGUCAGGUCCGGCCCAGUGGGCCGCCUUCGCCACGGGUGUUCUUCCUGAUCUCUACGCAUUUCACCACUCCACCAGGAGUUCCACCCACCUCUACCGGCCUCAAGCCCCCCGGUUCACGACGACCCUCCCGGGUUGAGCCCGGGGCUUUCACGUCAUGCCUAAGAAGCCGCCUGCGCACGCUUUACGCCCAGUAAUUCCGGACAACGCUCGGACCCUACGUAUUACCGCGGCGGCUGGCAC